rnacentral:sRNA from 1 species
UUACUUUUAUUUUGGGUAUUGGUUUAGCCAAAGGCGCGCCUGAUACCCCACAGGCGGCCUGAAUUCACGGGACGCCACCAGAGAAUCAACAAACCCCGGUCGGCCUCCCGACCGGGGU